rnacentral:rRNA from 1 species
GAUGAACGCUGGCGGCGUGCAUAACACAUUCAAGUCGAACGGGGCAGCAAUGCCUAGUGGCGGACGGGUGAGUAACGCGUGAGCAACCUGCCUGUGUGAGGGGGACAACAGCCGGAAACAGCUGCUAAUACCGCAUGAAGUAUUCGAAUCGCAUGGUUUGAAUACCAAAGAUUUAUCGCACACAGAUGGGCUCGCGUCCGAUUAGCUAGAUGGUGAGGUAACGGCUCACCAUGGCGACGAUCGGUAGCCGGACUGAGAGGUUGAACGGCCACAUUGGAACUGAGAUACGGUCCAGACUCCUACGGGAGGCAGCAGUGGGGAAUAUUGGGCAAUGGGCGAAAGCCUGACCCAGCGACGCCGCGUGAAGGAAGACGGUCUUCGGAUUGUAAACUUCAAACAACAGGGAAGAAACAAAUGACUGUACCUGUUAGGAAGCCACGGCUAACUACGUGCCAGCAGCCGCGGUAAAAC